UGGGGAAUUUUGGACAAUGGGGGCAACCCUGAUCCAGCAAUGCCGCGUGUGUGAAGAAGGCCUUCGGGUUGUAAAGCACUUUUGUCCGGGAAGAAAUCGCACCUGAUAAUACCGGGUGUGGAUGACGGUACCGGAAGAAUAAGGACCGGCUAACUACGUGCCAGCAGCCGCGGUAAGACGUAGGGUCCAAGCGUUAAUCGGAAUUACUGGGCGUAAAGCGUGCGCAGGCGGUUGUGCAAGACCGAUGUGAAAUCCCCGGGCUUAACCUGGGAAUUGCAGUGGUGACUGGACGGGUAGAGUGUGGCAGAGGGGGGUAGAAUUCCACGUGUGGCAGUGAAAUGCGUAGAGGUGAAGAGGAAUAACGAUGGCGAAGGCAGCCCCCUGGGAUAACACUGACGCUGAUGCACGAAAGCGUGGGGAGCAAACAGG
rnacentral:rRNA from 1 species